AGCACCCUACCUUGUCCUCUGUGAAGGAGGCCACCUAAACUGUCUCACUGGUUCUAGGUACACAAAACCCAAAUCUGAGAAAUCCACUGAAUUGGCAGUAGCAAGGGGACUCAGUUCGAGAAGAAGUUCGCUUUGCUGUGUCACUAGAUCAAAAGCUACCACAAAUGCAGACUAUAAUCACUCUUUAAUAUUAAAGGGAAAAGCUGACCUGUCCAGCUACAGCAGCAAAGUAACCAUACAGCGGAUCUUGAGUUUGUCCGGGAAACGCAGGCCCUCCAGGAGCCCCUCCAUACUGUGAAACAGGAAACACAUAGACAUCAUUCUGCCAAUCAAGUUUUCUUCUUUCACCACUGAAGGCUUUUGUGCAAGGCCAGACAACUGCCCGCCGCCUGCCCCCGCCCCCCUCGCCCCCACCUCCCGCUUCACAAGGCUCACCUGCCCACCACCGGGCACACUCAAACUGCCACCAUCCCACUCCUCUCUUCCAUUCUCACCCCGUAAUUUAAAAACUGGCUACUUGGACCUACAGAGUUGCUGUGAAAGUGAUGUCUGCAUAUGUAAAGCAACUUUUAAAAUCCCUAUUAACCUUCAGGCUACUGAGGUUCUGGAAGCAG